rnacentral:lncRNA from 1 species
AGGAACAAAGGAAGCAGAUGGAAAGCUUGCAGAGCCUGUUGCCUGGCUGCAGAAUGACGUGUGGUCAGCUACAGUGGGAAAGCAGCUGACACGAGAGAAAUCGAAGAGGAAAGGUGGCUGAUGCCAUCUCUGUCAGUGAGCACUAAGGGAACAACACUAAAACAAUCUUGCAGAGUUAUAGAUUGUUCUUGGAAAAAAUGUAGUUGACAUUACUUCAUGCUCUGCCCUAUGGACAGUAGAAUACAUUCUGUGCAGUCAAAGGAGAGGGGGUUGUUCUCAUGCUUCUUUUCCUCCUGCCCAUCUCCAACUGACUUGUCCAAGUGUUGUCUGUCUUCUUGGACCAGUUGAAUCUGUGACCUGCCCAAUUACAGGAAACCAGAAUGCCAAGAGUGUCUGAUGUGCAAUAAGAAAUGAAUUAGACUUCCAACAGUGUGUUUUAACCCAAAUUCAAUACUGGAUUUCUCCACCUUCAGAAGUUUGAAGGCUUUUUGGGAACACAUCAUUGCUCAUGAAGCAUAGAUGUUGUAGGUUAUGCUAACUGAAAUUACAGCUGCUUAAUCUACCCAUUGCAACCUGGGGUGAAAAGCUUAUACUUCACAUAUUCCUUCUGGAAUACAAGCACAUGGGACAUAAUAAGAAUGAACUGAAAAAUCCCCUUCAGAACCAUUUGGGGUCCUCAGAAUUAUUUAAUCUUCCUUUUCACAUGCUCUCCAGGUUGUUUCACAGUCAUGAAAUUUCUAUACUUGAGAUUCUCUGUGGGACUUGAAAUAUUUCCUGCCUAGUUUCAGAACAAAGGCACCAAACUGACAUGGGCUGCGUCAUUUGUGGGAAGAUACUGGCAUGGUUGUGUUCGCACUCACUUAAAAGAUGCAAAUCCACCUUAUGUCACCACAGGCCAAGGAGAAGAAAAUGGGGCCAUGCUGUUGCUUCAGCCUCCGUUUCAGAGUUCUACUUCUGCUGCAUCCCAUGAAUUGUGAUAUGUAAACCUCUGUUGGCCAUAAAUCCCCAGUCUUGACAGACUGAAUGCAGAUCAUGAAAGGAAAAGGGAGGGUAGGAUGCAUUUUAAUGUUUUUAAGCUUUGCUAAGGACAUCUGGCCUGGGGUGAUUUGC